rnacentral:rRNA from 1 species
CACUCCUGCGGGAGGCAGCAGUGGGGAAUAUUGCACAAUGGGCGCAAGCCUGAUGCAGCCAUGCCGCGUGUAUGAAGAAGGCCUUCGGGUUGUAAAGUACUUUCAGCGGGGAGGAAGGCGAUAAGGUUAAUAACCUUGUCGAUUGACGUUACCCGCAGAAGAAGCACCGGCUAACUCCGUGCCAGCAGCCGCGGUAAUACGGAGGGUGCAAGCGUUAAUCGGAAUUACUGGGCGUAAAGCGCACGCAGGCGGUCUGUCAAGUCGGAUGUGGAAUCCCCGGGCUCAACCUGGGAACUGCAUUCGAAACUGGCAGGCUAGAGUCUUGUAGAGGGGGGUAGAAUUCCAGGUGUAGCGGUGAAAUGCGUAGAGAUCUGGAGGAAUACCGGUGGCGAAGGCGGCCCCCUGGACAAAGACUGACGCUCAGGUGCGAAAGCGUGGGGAGCAAACAGGAUUAGAAACCCCUGUAGUCCC